rnacentral:rRNA from 1 species
GACGGGGGAUGCAAGUGUUAUCCGGAAUCACUGGGCGUAAAGCGUCUGCAGGUGGUUUCCUAAGUCCACUGUUAAACCUUGAGGCUCAACCUCAAAUCUGCAUUGGAAACUAGGAGACUUGAGUAUAGUAGGGGUAGAGGGAAUUUCCAGUGGAGCGGUGAAAUGCGUAGAUAUUGGAAAGAACACCGAUGGCGAAGGCACUCUACUGGGCUAUUACUGACACUCAGAGACGAAAAGCUAGGGGAGCAAAUGGG